rnacentral:rRNA from 1 species
GAUGAACGCUGGCGGCGUGCCUAAUACAUGCAAGUCGAGCGAACAGACGAGGAGCUUGCUCCUCUGACGUUAGCGGCGGACGGGUGAGUAACACGUGGAUAACCUACCUAUAAGACUGGGAUAACUUCGGGAAACCGGAGCUAAUACCGGAUAAUAUAUUGAACCGCAUGGUUCAAUAGUGAAAGACGGUUUUGCUGUCACUUAUAGAUGGAUCCGCGCCGCAUUAGCUAGUUGGUAAGGUAACGGCUUACCAAGGCAACGAUGCGUAGCCGACCUGAGAGGGUGAUCGGCCACACUGGAACUGAGACACGGUCCAGACGCCUACGGGAGGCAGCAGUAGGGAAUCUUCCGCAAUGGGCGAAAGCCUGACGGAGCAACGCCGCGUGAGCGAUGAAGGUCUUCGGAUCGUAAAACUCUGUUAUUAGGGAAGAACAAAUGUGUAAGUAACUAUGCACGUCUUGACGGUACCUAAUCAGAAAGCCACGGCUAACUACGUG